GUUCGUUAUAUGUCGAGUGCGUUCCGUAGGGUUAUCUUCUCUAGAAAAUAUCCGCCAAAGAGCAUAAGAAGUAGAAUACAAACAAGAUGAAGAGCAUCAUGAAUGUAUGACAGAACAUUUACAUAUCUUUGAAGCAUAAAACCGGUCAUAUUCUGUGGCACUGGGUGAGCUUGGUCAAGGCAUGAGAGCUCGUACUCCACUUAUUGCAACCACAACUAUAGAACUCUGUGCAUUUGUAAAAGAGUGUCAAUAUAUUGCACUGCAUCGUUUUACUAAAGUUGUGUUGGCUAUAAGGUAUUGAUGCACACUUUUUUGCAGUUUUUAUGCCAAAUUAACUUUUUUGAACUCAUUGAUUUUAUCUGGGGACUUAGUUUGUAUCAUAAAAUAAUUAAAUGUUUAUCUGUUUUAAAUGUAUUUUUUAAGAUGAUGUCUUUUUAAUUGAUUAGCUGCUAUAAUUUUAAUGCAAAUUUUUGUUUAUAUUGAAUAUUAAAGUUUUUUAUAAAUAAAAAGAUAGUGCGUUUUUUAAGUUGUUUAUUGUUUGUGUACGUGUAUGUGUACGUUGGCUUAGUGUUAACACUGUACUAGAUUGAAAAUACAUUGUUAUUGUUACUUGUUUCUAUGUUUUAUAAUGCAUUUGCAUAUGUCAGAAUGCUGUAAAAUGCAGUACUUUUUAGUAAAUGCUUUUUAUAACUGUUAUUUCUUAGGAAAUUCAUUUAUACUAUACUAGUCUUAUUAUACACGAUCAUCGAAAAUUGUCUUUAUAAAUGUUUCCUCUAAUUUGUUUGUAAUAUGUUAAUUGACAAGAUAGUUAAGCUAUCAGCUGUUUUACCUUUGAAAGAUACAUUUUAGUUCUGUUUUGUUCUUAUAAAGCAACAUUAGGGGAUGUUCUGUCCGAUUGUAUAGGUGGGGCGUGACUGAGACAAAGUUAAUGUGCUGCGAGUCCUCUAAGAAUAAAAGUAGGUGAAUGCCCAGGUAUCUUAUCCGAAUGUCUAUAUGUGAAGUAAAUGCUUAAGAUAGGAAAUUUUAUUUAUUAGAUCUUUCAAGAAAAGAAAGUUAUUGUGAAGAAAUUAAACAUUUGAUACUAAGAUAGGCACUAUAGAUAAUAUAUUUUAUUUAAAAAUCAGGAAAGCAUAGCAUUUUUAAAGUAUAAAGGGUAUGUACAUUUCAUUUAGGAGUGUUGCCUUUUUUGUGAUAACCUAACAAAUGUUCUUGACAAACAAAUCUGCAAAUCUGUAAAAUGUGUCAGUUUGUAUGCUGUUAAUUGUUAUACUGCUUAUAUAAUUACAUAUAGCACCAAAUCUAUUAAAAUUUUCUUUCCAUACAA